rnacentral:rRNA from 1 species
UACGUAGGGUCCAAGCGUUAUCCGGAAUUACUGGGCGUAAAGCGUGUGUAGGCGGGAGUUUAGGUGCAAUGCGAAAUCUUGUGGCUCAACCAUAUAGACUGUAUUGCAUACUGGACACCUUGAGGAUGGCAGAGGCAAGUGGAACUAGCAGUGUAGCAGUGAAAUGCGUAGAUAUUGCUAAGAACACCAAUGGCGAAGGCAGCUUGCUGGGCCAUUUCUGACGCUGAGACACGAAAGCGUGGGGAGCGAACAGG